AUCUGUCGUAGUUGCUGGCUCUACUUGUGCAUUUGCAACUGCUUCGUUUGUUUCUGUGGACGCUGUGGCAGAGGGAUUUGCUGCACCCUGAGACUCCGUGCUCCCGGCUUGGUUUUCUCGACGAGAUAAGGGCCUCAAAAACUGAUGGAUUCUGUUUCUCAAUUCAGACAAACCCCGACCGCCAGGAGAAGCACUGCUAUCACCUACAUAUUUCAUAGAAGCAAAGAUUUAUGACAUAUCCUGCGUUUAGGUAACACAUCAUCUACCAGGUCUAAGAAGAUUGAAGCCAAAACAACCAAGGGAAACAUCAAAUCAAACAUAAUAUGAG
rnacentral:lncRNA from 1 species